rnacentral:rRNA from 1 species
ACACAUGCAAGUCGAACGGGAUUGAUUAGAAGCUUGCUUUUGAGAGAUCCAGUGGCAAACGGGUGAGUAACGCGUAGGCAACCUGCCUUUGGGAUGGGGACAACAGGACGAAAGCCCUGCUAAUACCGAAUGAAGUGCGUUUUCCGCAUGGGAGAUGCAUGAAAGAUGGCCUCUACAUGUAAGCUAUCACCUGAAGAUGGGCCUGCGUCUGAUUAGCUAGUUGGUGGGGCAACGGCCCACCAAGGCGACGAUCAGUAGCCGGUCUGAGAGGAUGAACGGCCACAUUGGGACUGAGACACGGCCCAGACUCCUACGGGAGGCAGCAGUGGGGAAUCUUCCGCAAUGGGCGAAAGCCUGACGGAGCAACGCCGCGUGAGUGAAGAAGGUCUUCGGAUCGUAAAGCUCUGUUGUUGGGGACGAACGGGCACCUUGUGAACAAUGAGGUGCAGUGACGGUACCCGACGAGGAAGCCACGGCUAACUACGUGCCAGCAGCCGCGGUAAUACGUANGUGGCGAGCGU